GGCAUUUACUGUAAUAAAGAGAGUUUGGGAGCCCAGUUUUAAAAAUGAGAUUCUUUUUAAACCCUACAUGGGUCCAUGUUCAUGUUUUUUCCCUUCUAAUACUCCUGACAAUCGCACAAAGCUCCUGUGGGGCCGUUGUCUUUUUAAGCAUAAACACUCUCUCAGGGUCUCAGUUCUUUCUAAUCCUAUUGCAUAGCCACAGCCAAAUCACAGUCAUGGCCUGUAUUUCUUUCCUUUCUCUCUUCCUCCUAGCCAUAUUCUUCUCCGCCACCGCCAAGCAAACCUACAUAGUCCAUAUGAAACACAGCUCCAAACCUCAAUCCUUCGUCACCCACAACGACUGGUACACUUCUAGUCUCCAAUCCGUCACUUCCUCCUCCGACUCUCUUCUGUACACCUACAACGCUGCAUUUCCUGGUUUUGCUGCCUCCCUUGACCCUGAGGAAGCUGAAUCCCUUAGAAAGUCUGAAGCCGUUCUUGAUGUCUAUGAAGACACCGUUUACUCUCUGCAUACCACUCGCACUCCUCAAUUUCUUGGUCUCAACAUUGACUUUGGCUUGUUCGAUGGGCAUAACACUUUAGAUAUUGAUCAAGCUUCUCACGAUGUUAUCAUUGGGGUACUUGACACUGGGGUCUGGCCUGAGUCCAAGAGUUUCGAUGACACGGGCAUGCCUGAAAUCCCAAGUCGGUGGAAGGGUGAGUGUGAUUCUGGCAAAGGUUUCAGCCGUAAACUCUGCAACAAGAAGUUGAUUGGAGCUCGUUAUUUUUCAAAGGGCUACCAUAUGGCAUCUGGUGGUAGUUACUUGAAGAAUCCUAAAGAAAAUGAGUCUCCUCGUGACCAAGACGGCCAUGGAACUCACACUGCUAGCACAGCCGCCGGCUCACAGGUGGCCAAUGCUAGUUUACUAGGAUACGCCAGUGGUAUUGCUCGUGGGAUGGCCACGCACGCGCGUUUGGCUAGCUAUAAGGUGUGUUGGAGUACUGGUUGUUUUGGAUCCGACAUCCUCGCAGGAAUGGAUCUGGCCAUUGCGGACGGUGUUGAUGUGCUCUCGCUUUCUCUCGGUGGCGGAUCCGCACCGUAUUAUCGCGACACCAUUGCCAUUGGAGCUUUUGCUGCAAUGGAAAGGGGAAUUUUUGUCUCCUGCUCCGCCGGUAACAGCGGACCCAAUAAAGCCACUUUGGCUAAUGUGGCUCCCUGGAUCACUACCGUUGGAGCCGGAACUUUGGACAGGAAUUUCCCAGCUUACGCAGUGUUGGGUAACAGAAACCGCUUCACAGGCGUUUCGCUCUAUAGUGGAAAGGGAAUGGGGAAGAAACCGGUGGGUCUGAUUUACAACAAGGGGAACAGUUCAAGCAGUUCAAGCAAUUUGUGCUUGCCCGGUUCGCUGGAACCAGCUUUGGUUCGUGGGAAAGUCGUGGUUUGCGAUAGAGGAAUAAACGCUCGCGUAGAAAAGGGUGUAGUGGUCCGCGACGCUGGCGGGAUUGGGAUGAUACUUGCAAACACGGAGGUGAGCGGUGAGGAAUUGGUGGCAGAUAGCCACUUAUUGCCGGCGGUAUCGGUGGGAAGGAAGGCUGGUGAUAUGAUUAGAGAGUAUGUGAAGAGCCAUCCAAACCCAACUGCCGUGUUGAGUUUUGGUGGGACGGUUUUGAACGUGCGGCCGUCACCGGUGGUUGCGGCGUUCAGCUCUAGAGGUCCUAAUCUAGUGACACCGCAAAUCUUGAAGCCUGAUCUGAUUGGCCCUGGAGUCAACAUCCUUGCUGCAUGGUCAGAGGCUGUAGGACCCAUUGGAUUGGAGAAGGACACCAGGAAGACUCAAUUCAACAUCAUGUCAGGAACAUCCAUGUCUUGCCCACACAUCAGUGGAGUAGCUGCAUUGCUAAAGGCUGCACAUCCAAGAUGGAGCCCAAGCGCAAUCAAAUCAGCCCUCAUGACCACCGCCUACGUGGUUGACAACACCAACUCCCCUCUGCGGGAUGCCGGGAGCGUUGCUGGUGCACCCUCCAACCCAUGGGCUCAUGGCUCUGGCCAUGUAGACCCACACAGAGCCCUCUCUCCUGGCCUCGUUUAUGAUAUCUCAACUGACGAUUACGUUGCAUUCUUGUGCUCUCUCCGCUACUCCCUUGAUCAUGUUCAAGCCAUUGUCAAGCGCCCUAACGUUACUUGUUCGAGGAAAUUCAGCGACCCUGGUGAGCUCAAUUACCCAUCAUUCUCGGUGGUGUUUGCAGGCAAAAGGGUUGUAAGAAGGUAUACCCGAGAGUUGACCAAUGUGGGGAAGGCAGGAUCCGUAUAUGAAGUGGCCGUGACUGCGCCAUCUGCGGUGGUGGUGAAAGUGAAGCCAACCAAACUUGUAUUCAGAAAUAUAGGAGAUAAACUUAGAUACACCGUAACUUUCGUUGCAAAGAAAGGCGCAAACGAGGCUGCUAGAUAUGAAUUUGGUUCAAUAGCAUGGAGAAAUGCUCAACACCAAGUGAAAAGCCCAGUUGCCUUUGCUUGGACGCAGUUGUAAGGUCUCUUGUUCAAAAUGGGUUUUCGCUUGUUGGGCCUUUGCAUCAAGAAAAAGAGCUGCAAAGAGGGUUCGAUCAAUGGGAGACGUUCGUUUUAUGUGUUUUCUUUGGCGUUUUGCCAUUAAAAAAAUUAGAUACCCGAAGGUAACGUUUGGGGAAGUUUAAGGUUUAUAUUAUUUGUGUGCUUCCAAAACUAUUGUAAUAGAAUGGCAUAAAUGAUCUUUUGCAUAAUUAACUUAUAUCAGUUUGAAUUGUGAUAACGAGACGGUGGAGUUGAACAAAAUAGAAAUUUUUAGCAAAGGAGUAUAUAAAAAUGCCUGGUCGUAGUCUCUUUGAACUAGAACAUAUUUCUUGUAGGAACCAAUAUUUCUUGGGCUAACAUGAUUGCUCAACUGGGGAUGGACCCCUAGGCCCUAACUAGAAAAUUCUCAUCCAUAGGCUCUGAAUUGUAGCCUGCAUCCUAAAGGACCAUCCCCUUGCAAAUAGGGCAGCAUGACCCAAGAAAUGAUGAAUCCUACCCACUUGAUCUCUCCAGAAUGUACUUUUGUAACAUCCCAUCUUGCAACUAUUGAUUGACAACUACAACCCACUACUUGUGCAAAGAAGCCAUGUAUUAAUUUUUUCCAAACGAGUUAUGGUAAGCAAAGUUGGUGCUCUAAACCAGAACUAUUCUUCCAAUUAUUGAUUCUUUGGUUC
rnacentral:misc_RNA from 1 species